rnacentral:rRNA from 1 species
UACAGAGGGGGCAAGCGUUAUUCGGAAUUAUUGGGCGUAAAGGGCGCGUAGGCGGCUUUGCAAGUGGCGGGUGAAAUCCCUCGGCUUAACCGAGGAACUGCCUGUCAAACUGCAUGGCUUGAGACCAGGAGAGGUGAGUGGAAUUCCCAGUGUAGCGGUGAAAUGCGCAGAUAUCAGGAGGAACACCGGUGGCGAAGGCGGUUCUCUGGGCAUUACCUGACGCUGAGGAGCGAAAGCAUGGGGAGCGAACAGG